AGCUCCAAAUUCCCACUACUCUCAACUCUUGACCUGCCCUCGUCUCUUGACCCUUGUAUUCCUCCAUCCGAACUAAUGGUGAGAACUCCGGCAAAGACGACCACUCCGACAAAUACACCGGAGAAGGGAAGGGAGAUCACCAGCGACCACCCGACCAUUAUACAGAGCCAGGCGAGAGAACUCUCACUAGGGAACACCAAAUCAUUCUCCUCCGAAGCAAGUGCUUCCCC